GACAUGGCUCAGGAUGAACGCUAGCUACAGGCUUAACACAUGCAAGUCGAGGGGCAGCAUGAAAGGAACUUCGGUUCUUUUUGAUGGCGACCGGCGCACGGGUGCGUAACGCGUAUCGAACCUGCCUCAUACUCGGGGAUAGCCUUGCGAAAGUAAGAUUAAUACCCGGCAGUCUCGGACGGCCGCAUGACAGUCCGAGUGAAGAUUUAUCGGUAUGAGAUGGCGAUGCGUCCCA
rnacentral:rRNA from 1 species